rnacentral:misc_RNA from 1 species
GUCCGGUCCAUUUAGAUAGUAUUGUUCACUUUGAUGAGGCAAAACUCACUGUCAUCCACUAAUUCAAUUCAUUUUUGCCGAACUUGAAGCAAAGAAUCACCUUGCUCAUGAACCAUGUGGAAUGUCACAUUAUUUAUUUCAAUUACAUAUUUUAACAUUAUAUUCCCUAUUUUUAGUUACAGAAAAUCUCUAAUUCUCAGUUUUCCUAUGUCGUGGAGAAUGGCUUUGAACCUACAUCAGUGCCCUGCUCAAUGAUCAGGCCUCAAAUUACCAGGAUGGCAGGAUCCCCUGAAGCCAAGUCGCUUAAAAAGAAACAGUGAACAUAUACAAGCCCAUAAAUUAAAGCCACAUUCGAGAUCAUCGUGGUCCCAAAUUGCAGAAUGCAAUAUAACAAAAUAAAAAAAAAAAAAAGCUCACAAACAAACGAAGACCUCAAUUGGGCCUUCCCAUGGUACCUGAGCAUCUAUGGAGAUCCAGAGUCGUCGAUUCUCCACCUAGUCCAUUUCCGAUAGCAGCAUCACUCAAAAUGCAAACCAAUAGCCUUGUAGUAAGAGUCUAAUACUGCAUCUCAACUCGGUCAUAGCUAGUUUUCCUGAGU